rnacentral:rRNA from 1 species
AUGGGGGAGUUAGCACGUGAUCUAAUUUAUAUUAGAUCGACGGACACACACACAAAAAUCACUAGCAGCCCGAACAGAUUCUACCCGUACUUUGAGGUCAUGGGGAAGCAAAAGCUCACUAUAAAGACCGAGGAGGAGUCAAAUCCUCGUGAGAUGUACAUAACCUGGACUGACGAGGCGACAAGGUUUAUGCUUGAUUGGUAUAUUGAGCUUCGUAAGGACAAACCUGCAACUUUCAAGUUCAAGAAACAGCACCACUUGCACUGUGCUGAUGCUUUGAAUGGCAAGUUUACUCUUGGUGUCACUCAAACCCAAGUGGACCGACACUACCGGUCAUGCAAGGAGAAGUGGGGUUGGGUGCAUCGCGCCAUGGCCAAUAGUGGCAACGGCUUUGACAUGAUUAAUUUCACAUUCACACUUUCUGAGUCAGAAAAACAAAACCUAAGUUCCCAUGCUGACGGCUCGCUUGCAACUGACCAAACCACUGUCAAUGUGGAUGAUGAUAGUGAUGACAGCGAGGAAGUGAGGGAACUUGAGGCCAAUCUAAUUCCAGUUGACAGCGAUGAAGCUGACUCUGACACUAUUAAUCGUCAUAGUCCUAAAGUUGACUUGGAAGGCAAUUCUUUAAACAAGAAGCGCAAGCACGUGUCAUCUUCACCUUCCAAGAAGCCAACUAAGGGGAAAGCAAACAAGAAGGGCAAGAUAUCUAAUGAUGAUAUGGCAGCCAGUAUCAAGAAGCUAGCUGACUCUCUUGCAUCUCCUAUUGUUUCUGUGCAACCAAUGCCACCUACAGAUCCAUAUGCAAACCUUUGGAAGCGGAUAAAUGCCCAUACCAUACCAGCUAAGGAUAAACUUGAGCUUGUUGCAUAUCUAUCCAAACCAGACCAAGAUAUCUUCCGUAGUUACCUCAACUAUGCUGAUGAAACAAUUCUUGGACAGUGGGUCCUUAGCUUCUUUGAGCCUCGGUUUCAAGAAGAUGGUGGCAACGGUGGAUCUGCAACUGCUCACUGA